UGGGGGGUGAGGAAAGCUACCAGGCUUUUCUGUUCUCUGAGAGAGAGGCCCUGCAAGCUCACCCUCUCUCACAUACAUCCAUCUCUAUCCAAACCCAUGCUUGCAGCCAGGUCCAGAGAGAACCAGCUGAACCCUAGCUAGCUAGGAUUUACUAUGUUUAGAGGGAUGAGGGUGAGACAUUCCUGAGGAGGGGUGGUGAGCUUAACACCCUAAGAAGGGGCUCUUUUUGGAAAUAUUUUAAUGGUUGUCCACUUUGUUGUAAGAAAAUCCUCCCCUCUCUGGCCUAUAAAUCCUCCAUCACCUCACCCGUUGGCCCCCCACUCCCCUCCCCUCUCUCUCUCUGUCUCUCUCUCUCUAUCUCUAGAUUAGGUGGUGUAGUGUUUUAGAGGAAGUGGGUCUUCUUCCUGUGGAAGGAGAAGGAGGUGAUGGUGAGGUGAGAUGUGGUUUCUUUCAGGUGAUGGUGGCAGGAGGAGAAGUGGCUCCGAGGGAAUGGUUUUUCCCUCUCACAGAGAGGUGUAGAGGUGAUGAUGGGAGGAGGAAGUGGAGUAUUCUCUCUCUUUCCUAUUCUUUAUAGAAGUUGUGGUUUUCCUCCCUCUGCGGAGGGAAGAAAUGGUUCUGGCGAGAAGGAACAGGUGAAAUGGGUCCUGCCUGGCUCCCUGUAUGCCACACGUAUAGACCAAUCAAUUGUGAGAUUGGCUACUGUGGGUGGCGUGCAAGGAGCCAAGCAUGCCCUCUCUCCCCCUCCCUCCCUCCCCCCAACCAUCUCUCUUCUUCUACGGUAAUAAUCUCUUUUGUGUUAUGUGAAUGAUGUUUAAGAAGACGAGGUAGGAAUGAAUGGGUAGGUCAUUCUAUAUCUGGUUCUAAUGGUGUUUCCAUUUUGUUUGCAGGGGCUUCGAGGGCUUUAUUUCACCACAGCUAGCCCUUGUCAAGGAUUAGAAAGUCAAGUCUGUACGACUCCUAGCUCCUUCAUCCACUCAAGUAGUCCGGUGCUUUCUUGCACUGCCUUCAAAAGCUCAAACCUCACUAUUUCACUCUCUCGUAUAUGGCAUGGAAUGCAGUUUACCACAUUGGCAGGUCCCUAUAAACACACAAUGUAAUGUGGUCAGAGGCCCCUGCUCAUAAACACACAACGUGAUGUGGUCAGAUAUGGACUCCGGGCUGUGGGGUCCACUUCCACCGGGCCCUACUUAGGCCUGUGCCUAUGGUGGCCAGGACCCCUACCACAUGGGUGGGUGCAACACGGUCUGCCUUUCUGCCUUGCUUUUGUUGCUGGCAGUGCAACCAGGAAGACCCAAGUGUUCUGCCGCAGGGACUCAGCUUUCUAUCCUUCCGAGGAGGGGGAGGGGCGGGGGGAGGAGAGAGAGAGAGAGUAUUGGUGUCCUCCGUAAGGAAUUUUCAAGGGCAGCCAAAGAAGCCCAUCAGAACAAACCCAGCACCCGGAACUCAUACAACCCACUGCCCUUUCCCCAAGGCAUUGUCCGCAACCCUCAUGAUGCCGUGUCUUUGUACGGGCUGAUGCAAGAACAUUAUGCGUAUGUCCUCAAAAGAGAGCUUGGUUCUUCACGUCAUCGUUCCCUUCCCAAACUACCCCCAUCAUCAUUCCUAGUGAAUUCAUCCAUAUGAGGCUAAGAGCCCUCCAUCCAAUAUUUUCUAAUGCAGGUCAAAGCAAAGGGCAUGAUACUUUUUCUUACCCAAAAAAAGGGCAUGAUACUUUUUCUAAGAAAUGCUUGGAUGAGUUAUGGUGUCGUCGGGUUAACAGAGAUGGCAAGGGUUUGCCAUAUUGUGAUGUCUUGGUACGAUAUAUUGAAUUAUUUAGUUUGCCUGAAGUGCUGGUCAAUUGACACCCGGUCCUUUAAUGAUCUUCAUUUGGUCUUUAAUCCUUAUGGGCCAAAAGUUUAA